AGUAAAUAUUAUAAAGCUGGGCUAUGAAAAAGGAUUAGUAAAAAGUUGCCUGAUGGCACUCUAUUUUUCUUACCUGUGGCAUUUCAAAAAUUUUCACAUCACAUUUGUGAAAGCUAUUUAAUAGAAUGUAACUCUUGAUAAUACCAAUAUAAGUUAUUUAAAAAUGUUUAAGUUAUACUCAUUUAAAUGUGUUCAUAUCUUUAUUUGAUUUAAUUAAUGUAUAAGGUUAUUUAAUAGAUAAUGAUGUGCCGGGAGAGUUUAUAAACAAAUA
rnacentral:misc_RNA from 1 species